GAGCAGCCCAGAGCCUGAAUCAGUAUGUGUGUUAGUGGAAGCGUCUGGAAAGGCGCGCGAUACAGGGUGACAGCCCCGUACACAAAAAUGCACAUGCUGUGAGCUCGAUGAGUAGGGCGGGACACGUGGUAUCCUGUCUGAAUAUGGGGGGACCAUCCUCCAAGGCUAAAUACUCCUGACUGACCGAUAGUGAACCAGUACCGUGAGGGAAAGGCGAAAAGAACCCCGGCGAGGGGAGUGAAAAAGAACCUGAAACCGUGUACGUACAAGCAGUGGGAGCACGCUUAGGCGUGUGACUGCGUACCUUUUGUAUAAUGGGUCAGCGACUUAUAUUCUGUAGCAAGGUUAACCGAAUAGGGGAGCCGAAGGGAAACCGAGUCUUAACUGGGCGUUAAGUUGCAGGGUAUAGACCCGAAACCCGGUGAUCUAGCCAUGGGCAGGUUGAAGGUUGGGUAACACUAACUGGAGGACCGAACCGACUAAUGUUGAAAAAUUAGCGGAUGACUUGUGGCUGGGGGUGAAAGGCCAAUCAAACCGGGAGAUAGCUGGUUCUCCCCGAAAGCUAUUUAGGUAGCGCCUCGUGAAUUCAUCUCCGGGGGUAGAGCACUGUUUCGGCAAGGGGGUCAUCCCGACUUACCAACCCGAUGCAAACUGCGAAUACCGGAGAAUGUUAUCACGGGAGACACACGGCGGGUGCUAACGUCCGUCGUGAAGAGGGAAACAACCCAGACCGCCAGCUAAGGUCCCAAAGUCAUGGUUAAGUGGGAAACGAUGUGGGAAGGCCCAGACAGCCAGGAUGUUGGCUUAGAAGCAGCCAUCAUUUAAAGAAAGCGUAAUAGCUCACUGGUCGAGUCGGCCUGCGCGGAAGAUGUAACGGGGCUAAACCAUGCACCGAAGCUGCGGCAGCGACGCUGAUGCGUUGUUGGGUAGGGGAGCGUUCUGUAAGCCUGCGAAGGUGUGCUGUGAGGCAUGCUGGAGGUAUCAGAAGUGCGAAUGCUGACAUAAGUAACGAUAAAGCGGGUGAAAAGCCCGCUCGCCGGAAGACCAAGGGUUCCUGUCCAACGUUAAUCGGGGCAGGGUGAGUCGACCCCUAAGGCGAGGCCGAAAGGCGUAGUCGAUGGGAAACAGGUUAAUAUUCCUGUACUUGGUGUUACUGCGAAGGGGGGACGGAGAAGGCUAUGUUGGCCGGGCGACGGUUGUCCCGGUUUAAGCGUGUAGGCUGGUUUUCCAGGCAAAUCCGGAAAAUCAAGGCUGAGGCGUGAUGACGAGGCACU
rnacentral:rRNA from 1 species